rnacentral:rRNA from 1 species
GAUGAACGCUGGCGGCGUGCUUAACACAUGCAAGUCGAACGGAAAGGCCCAAGCUUGCUUGGGUACUCGAGUGGCGAACGGGUGAGUAACACGUGGGUUAUCUGCCCUGCACUUCGGGAUAAGCCUGGGAAACUGGGUCUAAUACCGGAUAGGACGAUGGUUUGGAUGCCAUUGUGGAAAGUUUUUUCGGUGUGGGAUGAGCUCGCGGCCUAUCAGCUUGUUGGUGGGGUAAUGGCCUACCAAGGCGUCGACGGGUAGCCGGCCUGAGAGGGUGUACGGCCACAUUGGGACUGAGAUACGGCCCAGACUCCUACGGGAGGCAGCAGUGGGGAAUAUUGCACAAUGGGCGCAGGCCUGAUGCAGCGACGCCGCGUGGGGGAUGACGGCCUUCGGGUUGUAAACUCCUUUCGCUAGGGACGAAGCGUUUUUGUGACGGUACCUGGAGAAGAAGCACCGGCUAACUACGUG